rnacentral:rRNA from 1 species
GUGCAGCAGUCGCGAAUCUUCCACAAUGGACGAAAGUCUGAUGGAGCGACGCCGCGUGCGGGAUGAAGGCCUUAUGGGUUGUAAACCGCUGUCAGGGGGAGAACAUCGGAGUGAACAAUACUCAUUCCGACUGACGUUACCCCCACGAGGAAGCUCCGGCCAACUCCGUGCCAGCAGCCGCGGUAAUACGGGGGAGCAAGCGUUGUCCGGAAUUAUUGGGCGUAAAGGGCGUGUAGGCGGCGAGGUAAGUCGAAUGUGAAAUCUCACGGCUCAAACCGUGAAACUGCGUUCGAAAACUACCCCUGCUUGAGUACGGGAGAGGUGUACGGAAUUCCUGGUGUAGCGGUGGAAUGCGUAGAUAUCA